CGGGGCAUAGCGCAGCCUGGUAGCGCAUCUGCUUUGGGAGCAGAGGGUCGGGGGUUCAAAUCCCUCUGCCCCGACCA
rnacentral:tRNA from 5 species